UGUGGUGUGUGGUUGCUGGUGAGUCUUUGCUUCAGGCUGGGGGGCUGUCUGUAAGCAAGGACUGGCCUGUCUCCCAAGAUCUGUGAGAGUGAUGGGUCGUCCUUCAGGAUAGGUUGUAGAUCCUGGACGAUGCAUUGGAGAGAUUUUAGAUGGGGGCUGAAGAUGAUGGCUAGUGGCAUUCUGUUAUUUUCUUUGAUGGGCCUGUCCUUGAUUGUCACUACAG